rnacentral:rRNA from 1 species
AUUAGAGUUUGAUCCUGGGUCAGAUUGAACGCUGGCGGCAGGCUUAACACAUGCAAGUCGAGCGGUAGCACAGGGGAGCUUGCUCCCUGGGUGACGAGCGGCGGACGGGUGAGUAAUGUCUGGGAAACUGCCUGAUGGAGGGGGAUAACUACUGGAAACGGUAGCUAAUACCGCAUAACGUCGCAAGACCAAAGAGGGGGACCUUCGGGCCUCUUGCCAUCAGAUGUGCCCAGAUGGGAUUAGCUAGUAGGUGGGGUAAUGGCUCACCUAGGCGACGAUCCCUAGCUGGUCUGAGAGGAUGACCAGCCACACUGGAACUGAGACACGGUCCAGACUCCUACGGGAGGCAGCAGUGGGGAAUAUUGCACAAUGGGCGCAAGCCUGAUGCAGCCAUGCCGCGUGUGUGAAGAAGGCCUUCGGGUUGUAAAGCACUUUCAGCGAGGAGGAAGGUGGUGAGCUUAAUACGCUCAUCAAUUGACGUUACUCGCAGAAGAAGCACCGGCUAACUCCGCGCCGCACCCGCGGUAAUAC